rnacentral:rRNA from 1 species
UACGGAGGGUGCGAGCGUUAAUCGGAAUGACUGGGCGUAAAGGGAGCGUAGGCGGACUUUUAAGUGGGAUGUGAAAUCCCCGGGCUUAACCUGGGAACUGCGGUUGUGACUGCAAGACUAGAGUGUGGCAGAGGGGGGUGGAAUUCCACGUGUAGCAGUGAAAUGCGUAGAGAUGUGGAGGAACACCGAUGGCGAAGGCAGCCCCCUGGGUCAACACUGACGCUCAUGCACGAAAGCGUGGGGAGCAAACAGG